UACGGGGGGGGCAAGCGUUGUUCGGAAUUACUGGGCGUAAAGGGCGCGUAGGCGGCCAUCUAAGUCAGACGUGAAAUCCCUCGGCUCAACCGAGGAACUGCGUCUGAUACUGGAAGGCUUGAAUCCGGGAGAGGGAUGUGGAAUUCCAGGUGUAGCGGUGAAAUGCGCAGAUAUCAGGAGGAACACCGGUGGCGAAGGCGGGUCUCUGGGCCGAUACUGACGCUGAGGAGCGAAAGCGUGGGGAGCAAACAGG
rnacentral:rRNA from 1 species